rnacentral:misc_RNA from 1 species
CCAAAGAUGGCGGGCCUCCGUGCCCCCGUCCCCAACCCAUUGUUGACUUAAAACGCUUUUGCCUCGGGGGCAGAGCGUCCGCCGCCGCCCCCGGAGGACCAUUUAACGCUGUCUCUUUGCGUCGGAGUAUUAAUUAAAUAAAUGA